rnacentral:tRNA from 1 species
UCCCUGGUAGUCCAGUGGUUAAGACUUUGCCUUCUGAUGCAGGGGGUGCAGGUUGGAUCCCUGUUUGGGGAG